rnacentral:rRNA from 1 species
AUUGAACGCUGGCGGCAUGCUUUACACAUGCAAGUCGAACGGCAGCGGGGGCUUCGGCCCGCCGGCGAGUGGCGAACGGGUGAGUAAUGCAUCGGAACGUGCCCAGUCAUGGGGGAUAACUACGCGAAAGCGUAGCUAAUACCGCAUACGCCCUGAGGGGGAAAGUGGGGGAUCGCAAGACCUCACGUGAUUGGAGCGGCCGAUGUCAGAUUAGCUAGUUGGUGAGGUAAAGGCUCACCAAGGCGACGAUCUGUAGCGGGUCUGAGAGGAUGAUCCGCCACACUGGGACUGAGACACGGCCCAGACUCCUACGGGAGGCAGCAGUGGGGAAUUUUGGACAAUGGGCGAAAGCCUGAUCCAGCCAUGCCGCGUGAGUGAAGAAGGCCUUCGGGUUGUAAAGCUCUUUCGGACGGAAAGAAAUCGCACGGGCUAAUAUCUCGUGUGGAUGACGGUACCGUAAGAAGAAGCACCGGCUAACUACGUGCCAGCCGCCGCCGUAACAC